rnacentral:rRNA from 1 species
GACGAACGCUGGCGGCGUGCCUAAUACAUGCAAGUUGAGCGCUGAAGGUUGGUACUUGUACCAACUGGAUGAGCAGCGAACGGGUGAGUAACGCGUGGGGAAUCUGCCUUUGAGCGGGGGACAACAUUUGGAAACGAAUGCUAAUACCGCAUAAAAACUUUAAACACAAGUUUUAAGUUUGAAAGAUGCAGUUGCAUCACUCAAAGAUGAUCCCGCGUUGUAUUAGCUAGUUGGUGAGGUAAAGGCUCACCAAGGCGAUGAUACAUAGCCGACCUGAGAGGGUGAUCGGCCACAUUGGGACGGAGACACGGCCCAAACUCCUACGGGAGGCAGCAGUAGGGAAUCUUCGGCAAUGGACGAAAGUCUGACCGAGCAACGCCGCGUGAGUGAAGAAGGUUUUCGGAUCGUAAAACUCUGUUAGUAGAGAAGAACGUUGGUGAGAGUGGAAAGCUCAUCAAGUGACGGUAACUACCCAGAAAGGGACGGCUAACUACGUG